UACGUAGGGUCCGAGCGUUGUCCGGAAUUACUGGGCGUAAAGAGCUCGUAGGUGGUUUGUCGCGUUGUUCGUGAAAACUCACAGCUCAACUGUGGGCGUGCGGGCGAUACGGGCAGACUUGAGUACUGCAGGGGAGACUGGAAUUCCUGGUGUAGCGGUGGAAUGCGCAGAUAUCAGGAGGAACACCGGUGGCGAAGGCGGGUCUCUGGGCAGUAACUGACGCUGGAGGCGACGACAGCGUGGGGAGCAAACAGG
rnacentral:rRNA from 1 species